ACUAAGUUUCAACAACGGAUCUCUUGGCUCUCGCAUCGAUGAAGGACGCAGCGAAAUGCGAUAAGUAAUGUGAAUUGCAGAAUUCAGUGAAUCAUCGAAUCUUUGAACGCACCUUGCGCUCCUUGGUAUUCCUCGGAGCAUGCCUGUUUGAGUAUCAUGA
rnacentral:rRNA from 1 species